CAACUCAGGUAAAAGUUAAAUUCUUAAAUCUCUUCAGAGUCAAUUUCCCCCUCCAUAAAACACGAGGACUCUCUUGGUGAGGAGCUGGCAUGGGGGCAAGGUGCUGGUAACUUAAUACAACUUACAAGAGCAACUCUCGAUUACUUCUCAUUGGCCCUUCUUCUGCCUCUUAGAGUCCAGAUCCUCCUCUUCUAGGUAACCCUACCUCACUUAACCUCUUUCUGAUGGAUUCCCAUAGCACUGGGUCAGAUCAGUCCAGCACAGAAGCUGGGCUCCUACACUGGACUCCUUAAACCAUACUAACACUUUUUCUCCUCUGCCUCUGCACUACCAGAAGGGAAGACAAACAUGGUACCAUGCAAUCACCCACAGGGCCUACCGUGAGGCUGGAAGCUAACUCAAACUGUGCAAGUAAUUGGCUGAUGAGACCUGGAAGACAAGGGGCCCAGCCCAUCAAAAAGUCUAAGGCAUAAGGCAAGAGAAGCCUGGCUGAGUUCCAAGUUUCUCACUAGACUGUAAGUUCCAUGAGGGCUUCAACUUCAUAUACACCUGAGCACUGGCUGAGAAGACCAGAAGUCCCCUCACCAACAACCCCUCUGGUACUAUGUGUCCCAGAAGACACCCAGGACAACCCCAGCCAUGGCUCCAGAUCCUACCUGGCAGGAGGGAACCGACUGACAUCCCCUCUGGCAAAAGUGAAGCAUCGAAGGUUCGGGCUGUAGGCCCCAGAAGCUUGAGGUGGAGUUGUAGUUUGGCCACUCUCUGGCUCUGGUUCCCCGUGGGAGAUGGCUUCACUCACAAAGUCCCUGGCAUUCAGCUGCUCCAGCUCCCCACUCACAUGAUCCCAGGCAGCAAAGUUAUUAACCAGCGCACCAUACUUCUGCUCUGAAAGGAGACUGACCCGGAUGGAUGGCCAAAGAUCACCAAAUUGCACACUGUAGGUCAUGUCAAAAUUCUGCAGAGCCAGUUGGGUGGCAGGAAAUUUGGGCUCUGUGGCAGCCUGAAAGGAAAAGAAUGGGUUUAAUGAUCUUCCAAGUCUUUUUUUUUUUUUUUUUCAAGAUUUUAUUUAUUUAUUCAUGAGAGACAGAGAGAGAGAGAGGCAGAGACACAGGCAGAGACACAG